rnacentral:lncRNA from 1 species
CCGCCUCUUGCCUAGUCUACGCUUGCCGUGCUGUAUUUCCUUUUGCCUUGGGGACAAGCUCGCCUCUUCUUUCUCAAAGGAGGAAAAACACUGACGAAGCAGAAGGAGCAGGUGCGCAACAGAUCUUUGUCGGAUCACUCACUAGGUUCCCACAGGGGCUGGACCUGAAAUAAAAUAGUACACGAACACGCCUGCAGGGACUCGGUGCGAGUCUAUGGCAACCCUCGGUGCAAGAACGGCUGGCUGAUUUUUACCUCGAGUGGAGGUGGUCAGGAAGGCCAGACUCACGAUGACAUUGUCCUGUGCCGGUACACCAACCAGUGGGCUGCACCUCUGAGCCUACUUCAGUCGGAGAUCCCAAGUGAGCAGUGUUCCCAAAUUCCUAGCAACCAAGCCUGCCCUUGAGCAAAAAGGUCUAAUACUUAAAGACUAGAGAAAUCUUGAUUAGGGAUCCUGAAUUGAGUUACCUUCCUACACGUCUGUGUAAAUCUGACUUCCAAGACCGCAGAGGAAUCACACAGAUCUCAAACUCUUACUUCCAGAUAGGUGCCUAAACACUAAGCGUUUUGCAAAGGCUAAACAGGUUUUACUGUCCCACAGUUCCUAUCUGGGUUUUUUUGUUGCAUUUCUUCUAGUUACUGACCAGGCAUAUACAAAAGUGAGCACACAGGACCAUCAUUUUACGUGUUGUUAGAAAACAAGGAUUUCUAAUGAAUGUGGUGCAUACUUAUAACCCAGGACUUGGAACAGAGAUCAGAGGACUAGAAAUUCAAGAUCAUUCUCAACACAUCAUAGACCUGAAGUUAGACUGGGCUACAUGAUAUGCUGUCUCAAAAACUGAUCACCUCUUU